UGGGGAAUAUUGCGCAAUGGGCGAAAGCCUGACGCAGCGACGCCUCGUGAGGGAUGAAGGUCUUCGGAUCGUAAACCUCUGUCAAGAGGGAAGAAACCCUUGAGUUCGAAUAGGACUCUUGGCUGACGGUACCUCUAAAGGAAGCACCGGCUAACUCCGUGCCAGCAGCCGCGGUAAUACGGAGGGUGCAAGCGUUAAUCGGAAUCACUGGGCGUAAAGCGCUCGUAGGCUGUUUGGUAAGUCAGACGUGAAAGCCCUCGGCUUAACCGGGGAACUGCGUUUGAUACUGCCAGACUUGAGUGUCGGAGAGGGUGGCGGAAUUCCGGGUGUAGGAGUGAAAUCCGUAGAUAUCCGGAGGAACACCAGUGGCGAAGGCGGCCACCUGGACGACAACUGACGCUGAGGAGCGAAAGCGUGGGGAGCAAACA
rnacentral:rRNA from 1 species